UUUUACAAUGGAGAGUUUGAUCCUGGCUCAGGAUGAACGCUAGCUACAGGCUUAACACAUGCAAGUCGAGGGGAAACGACAUCGAAAGCUUGCUUUUGAUGGGCGUCGACCGGCGCACGGGUGAGUAACGCGUAUCCAACCUGCCCAUCACUUGGGGAUAACCUUGCGAAAGUAAGACUAAUACCCAAUGAUAUCUCUAGAAGACAUCUGAAAGAGAUUAAAGAUUUAUCGGUGAUGGAUGGGGAUGCGUCUGAUUAGCUUGUUGGCGGGGUAACGGCCCACCAAGGCGACGAUCAGUAGGGGUUCUGAGAGGAAGGUCCCCCACAUUGGAACUGAGACACGGUCCAAACUCCUACGGGAGGCAGCAGUGAGGAAUAUUGGUCAAUGGGCGAGAGCCUGAACCAGCCAAGUAGCGUGCAGGAUGACGGCCCUAUGGGUUGUAAACUGCUUUUAUAAGGGAAUAAAGUGAGCCUCGUGA
rnacentral:rRNA from 1 species